rnacentral:tRNA from 1 species
CGGGGCGUAGCGCAGCUGGUUAGCGCACUCGCUUGGGGUGCGAGAGGCCGGUGGUUCGAAUCCACUCGCCCCGA